rnacentral:lncRNA from 1 species
AAAAGACUAUCUCUUCCCAUUGAAUUAAAUUGGAACUUUGGAAUCUUAAUAGAAAACCAACUGACUUGGCUUGGUUUUCAGGUGCUGGUUCCAUGGCUCUUCCUGAGCCGAAAAUAAGGAAACUCCAUAGACCUUGUCCACUGGAACUCGUUCCCAUCUACCCUCCACUCUAUCCAGGGUGAUGGAUCUCUGCAGUAAGUGGAAGAGUUCUUCAUGGCCCCCAAGGUUAUAUCCAUCUAGAACUUCAGCACGUAAUUUCAUCUGGAAAUAGUGCCUUUGCGGAUAUAAGUUAGGUAAAACUGAAGAUGAGAUCAUACUGGAUUAGGAUGGGAUCUAAAUCCAAUGAAAAUGUCUUCAUAAAAAACAGGAAAGAACCCAUAGAAACACAAGGAAGAAGGUCAUGUGAAGAUGGAGGCAGAGAUUGGAGGGAUGCAGCCACCGGCCCAGGAAUGCCAGCAGCCACCCAGAAGCUGGAAGGAAAUGAGGGAUUCUCUCCUAGAACCUUUAGAGAGAACAUGGUCCUGUGAACAGCUUGAUUUUGGACUUGCCCAUAGCUUGUAUACUCUUACUUUGGAUACAAUUUUAUCCAAACUUGGCUAAACAGUUUCUCAGCCUAUGGAAAAUUUAAAAUGGAGAAGAUUCAACUCGAUUCUUACAGAUUCAAAGCAAGAAAAUGAUGGGAACAUAGGAGGAGACCAAGAAAGCCUAUAAAAAGCAAAAAUAUGAAGUGAACAUUGUGGUAGCUUUAAGAUGUUUAGUGUAGCUGCAGGCACCCUAUACACAUGAAAACCCCCAAGGGGAAUCCCCAUAUCACAGUGUAGUGUGAUAUUUGACAUUCGUGAUCAUCUAGAGAUGUACAGAAAAGGUGAAUCUGUGUUCUGUAUAUUCUGCCUAAGGCAAAGAAAUGUUUAGCUCUCUUUAAAAUAGUUCCAUAAUUUUUUCUAAAAAGCUUUGCUUGAAAACUGUAAGCUUCCCAUAUCUGGAGCAUUUCACUUUAAAUAUUUGGAUAAAUAUGUUAUCUUCUUACUUGGACAUUUCAUGUGUUUAGGGAUUGUCUUCUAAAUUCUUCCUAAUUCAUAUAGCUGCUAACACUUCCCGCAGAGCUAAACCAUUACAGAUAUGAAAUAAAGACCUAUUGAUUUGACUUACUUUUACUUGUAAAACCUUCUGAGUGUUAUAACCUCAUUUAAUCUUUCAGCAUUUACAGUUUCAAGAGUUUGUGUCACAAUUAGAAGAAUUCAGCUGCACCUCCAAGUGACAGCAGUUGCUCUGGUUGGUGGGUGAUCUCAGGAGGCUUGAGAAUUGCUUUGUCUGUGAGGGAAGUAAGACAUUUUCAGAGCCCCACUUUAGAAGGUGUGAACUGGCUAGAUAAUGAACCCCAGGGCUAACGCUGCUAUAGCAGUGGGAAGGAGGUGAUGGGUUUUCAGUUUGGACCUCAAACAUCAAUACCCUCCUGGUACGGGGAGGAACAGAGUCCCUCCUUUACUUCUCCAUUAGAAAGAAUGAGAUGGCAAGACAAUGAAACAGGCAAAGUGAACAGAGAUGCAAGACAAAAUUCAGGUGAGAGAGCCAGAGCAUCACUCAGCCAUUCCUGACAUGUAAAACAGGCAACUAGAAAUUUGCAGAAAGGAAGCGAAGUCUCCAUAAAGAUGUUUUUAAAGUGAGCUUGAAGUAUUUGGAGACAAUUCAGUGUUACAUAAAAUCUGCAAAUCUCUGGAUAAAGAAGCAGAGAUCCCAGCAUGGGACAAAUGGAGCCUCAAAAGUGGGAAGAAGACAGAGAAGACCAGGGCAGAAUGCAUCUCUUCCUUUCUCUUGGCUUUCCUGGAUAAGGACUGCAUCAUUCCUGUGGAAGGACAGGCCAUCAGCUCCGAAACACUGUAUGUAUUUUCCAGUAUAUACUGCUAGCUGUGUGAUGUUGGGAAAAUUUGUUACCCUGUCUAACCCCCACUUCCCUCAUCUGUAAAAUGGAAAUAAUGAUAGUACCUACCUAUCUCAUAGGUGGCAACUACAAGGGGCAGCACACUCAGGGAAUUAAGGAAGUUUCAGUGAACAUCAACUUUAUGAACACAGUGUUCAUAAAGGCAGGUCAGUGCAGUGGUUUGGGAGCCAGGAGAAGCACGUGGGCCGGAGUGUGCCUGCAGGAGACAAGGUCAGAGAUGUUGCUAAUAAUGGAGAAUAAAGGAUGCAUUCUCAUUACUGA